UACGGUCGGUGCAAGCGUUGUCCGGAAUUAUUGGGCGUAAAGAGCUCGUAGGCGGUUUGUCGCGUCUGCUGUGAAAUCCCGGAGGCUCAACCUCGGGCCUGCAGUGGGUACGGGCAGACUAGAGUGCGGUAGGGGAGAUUGGAAUUCCUGGUGUAGCGGUGGAAUGCGCAGAUAUCAGGAGGAACACCGGUGGCGAAGGCGCUCAUCUGGCCCAAUACUGACGCUGAGGCGCGAAAGCUAGGGAGCAAACAGG
rnacentral:rRNA from 1 species